UACGUAGGGCGCAAGCGUUGUCCGGAAUUAUUGGGCGUAAAGAGCUCGUAGGCGGCCUGUUGCGUCCGCUGUGAAAUCCCGGGGCUCAACCCCGGGUCGGCCGCGGGUACUGCCGGGCUGGAGUGCCGUAGGGGCAGGCGGAAUUCCGGGUGUAGCGGUGGAAUGCGUAGAGAUCCGGAAGAACACCGGUGGCGAAGGCGGCCUGCUGGGCGGCGACUGACGCUGAGGCGCGACAGCGUGGGGAGCAAACAGG
rnacentral:rRNA from 1 species